AUUGAACGCUGGCGGCAGGCCUAACACAUGCAAGUCGAACGAGUGGCGGACGGGUGAGUAAUGUCUGGGAAACUGCCUGAUGGAGGGGGAUAACUACUGGAAACGGUAGCUAAUACCGCAUACCAUCAGAUGUGCCCAGAUGUGAUUAGCUAGUUGGUGGGGUAACGGGUCACCCAGGCGACGAGCCCUAGCUGGUCUGAGAGGAUGACCAGCCAGACUGGAACUGAGACACGGUCCCGACUCCUACGGCAGGCAGCAGUGGGGAAUAGUGCACAAUGGGCGCAAGCCUGAUGCAGCCAUGCCGCUUGUAUGAAGAAGGCCGUCGGGUUUUAAAGUACUUUCAGCGGGGAGGCGUUACCCGCAGAAGAAGCACCGGCUAACUCCGUGCCAGCAGCCGCGGUAAUUC
rnacentral:rRNA from 1 species